rnacentral:rRNA from 1 species
GACGAACGCUGGCGGUGUGCUUAACACAUGCAAGUCGAACGGAAAGGCCCUGCUUUUGUGGGGUGCUCGAGUGGCGAACGGGUGAGUAACACGUGAGUAACCUGCCCUUGACUUUGGGAUAACUUCAGGAAACUGGGGCUAAUACCGGAUAGGAGCUCCUGCUGCAUGGUGGGGGUUGGAAAGUUUCGGCGGUUGGGGAUGGACUCGCGGCUUAUCAGCUUGUUGGUGGGGUAGUGGCUUACCAAGGCUUUGACGGGUAGCCGGCCUGAGAGGGUGACCGGCCACAUUGGGACUGAGAUACGGCCCAGACUCCUACGGGAGGCAGCAGUGGGGAAUAUUGCACAAUGGGCGGAAGCCUAAUGCAGCAACGCCGCGUGCGGGAUGACGGCCUUCGGGUUGUAAACCGCUUUCGCCUGUGACGAAGCGUGAGUGACGGUAAUGGGUAAAGAAGCACCGGCUAACUACGUG